AGUCGAGCGGUAGAGAGAAGCUUGCUUCUCUUGAGAGCGGCGGACGGGUGAGUAAUGCCUAAGAAUCUGCCUAGUGGUGGGGGAUAACGUUCGGAAACGGACGCUAAUACCGCAUACGUCCUACGGGAGAAAGCGGGGGAUCUUCGGACCUCGCGCCAUUAGAUGAGCCUAGGUCGGAUUAUCUAGUUGGUGAGGUAAUGGCUCACCAAGGCGACGAUCCGUAACUGGUCUGAGAGGAUGAUCAGUCACACUGGAACUGAGACACGGUCCAGACUCCUACUGGAGGCAGCAGUGGGGAAUAUUGGACAAUGGGCGAAAGCCUGAUCCAGCCAUGCCGCGUGUGUGAAGAAGGUCUUCGGAUUGUAAAGCACUUCAAGUUGGGAGGAAGGGCAGUAACCUAAUACGUUAUUGUUUUGACGUUACCGACAGAAUAAGCACCGGCUAACUUCGUGCCAGCAGCCGCGGUAAUACGAAGGGUGCAAGCGUUAAUCGGAAUUACUGGGCGUAAAGCGCGCGUAGGUGGUUCAGUAAGUUGGAAGUGAAAUCCCCGGGCUCAACCUGGGAACUGCUUUCGAAACUGCUGAGCUAGAGUACAGUAGAGGGUGGUGGAAUUUCCUGUGUAGCGGUGAAAUGCGUAGAUAUAAGAAGGAACACCAGUGACGAACGCGACCACCUGCACUGAUACUGACUACUGAGUGCGAAAGCGUGAGGAGCAAACAUGAUUA
rnacentral:rRNA from 1 species